rnacentral:rRNA from 1 species
AUUGAACGCUGGCGGCAGGCCUAACACAUGCAAGUCGAGCGGUAGCACAAGAGAGCUUGCUCUCUGGGUGACGAGCGGCGGACGGGUGAGUAAUGUCUGGGAAACUGCCUGAUGGAGGGGAUAACGUACUGGAAACGGUAGCUAAUACCGCAUAACGUCUUCGGACCAAAGUGGGGACCUUCGGGCCUCACGCCAUCAGAUGUGCCCAGAUGGGAUUAGCUAGUAGGUGGGGUAAUGGCUCACCUAGGCGACGAUCCCUAGCUGGUCUGAGAGGAUGACCAGCCACACUGGAACUGAGACACGGUCCAGACUCCUACGGGA